GACGAACGCUGGCGGCGUGCUUAACACAUGCAAGUCGAACGAUGAAGUUCCUUCGGGAAUGGAUUAGUGGCGAACGGGUGAGGAACACGUGAGAAACCUGCCUUUCAUUUUGGGAUAACUCCGGGAAACCGGGGCUAAAACCGAAUACUCCGUCUUGGCGGCAUCGCUAAGCCGGGAAAAAAUUUUGAUGAAAGAUGGUCUCGCGGCCUAUCAGCUAGUUGGUGAGGUAAUGGCUCACCAAGGCGACGACGGGUAGCCGGCCUGAGAGGGCGACCGGCCACACUGGGACUGAGACACGGCCCAGACUCCUACGGGAGGCAGCAGUGGGGAAUAUUGGGCAAUGGGCGCAAGCCUGACUCAGCGACGCCGCGUGAGGGAUGAAGGCCUUCGGGUUGUAAACCUCUUUCAGUAGGGAAGAAGCGAAAGUGACGGUACCUAAAGAAGAAGCACCGGCUAACUAUGUGCCAGCCGCCGCGGUAA
rnacentral:rRNA from 1 species